rnacentral:rRNA from 1 species
CGGGGUGCAGCAGGCGCGAAAACUUUACAAUGCUGGCAACAGCGAUAAGGGGACCUCGAGUGCCAGGUUACAAAUCUGGCUGUCGUGAUGCCUAAAAAGCAUUGCAUAGCAAGGGCCGGGCAAGACCGGUGCCAGCCGCCGCGGUAACACCGGCGGCUCGAGUGGUAACCGUUAUUAUUGGGUCUAAAGGGUCUGUAGCCGGCCGGAUAAGUCUCUUGGGAAAUCUGGCAGCUUAACUGUCAGGCUUUCAGGAGAUACUGUCUGGCUCGAGGCCGGGAGAGGUGAGAGGUACUUCAGGGGUAGGGGUGAAAUCUUGUAAUCCUUGAAGGACCACCAGUGGCGAAGGCGUCUCACCAGAACGGACCUGACGGCAAGGGACGAAAGCUAGGGGCACGAACCGGAUUAGAUACCCGGGUAGUCCUAGCCGUAAACGAUACUCGCUAGGUGUCGGCCACGGUGCGACCGUUGUCGGUGCCGUAGGGAAGCCGUGAAGCGAGCCACCUGGGAAGUACGGCCGCAAGGCUGAAACUUAAAGGAAUUGGCGGGGGAGCACAAGGGCGAUUCGCGG